GUUGUGGAUGCACGGAUGAGGCUGGUAGUUUAGGCAGCAGCACUGAUUGUUGUGAUUCAGACAUGGGUCAUGUUCAUGCACAAGAGAGUUGUUCAUCGUGGUGGGAGACCUGUCAUCUGUUAUGCUCCAAUGCUUAUGCGGGAGCGGGAGAGGAUCGCCAAUCUAAACUACAUCUACAACUACAACGACACAGAGGCCAUGUGGAUGCUUCGAAUGAAACGAGCAACAUUUGCCAAACUUGUCUAGACCUUCAAGAGCGGGCUGCUACAAGAUAGUGUCCACAUCAGUGUGGAAGAGCAAGUGGCCAUGUUCCUCCAUGUUGUUGGCCAUAACCAGAGGUUCAGGGUUAUACACAACACGUUCGGGAGAUCAAUGGAGACUAUCUCAAGGUAGUUCAAGCAAGUGCUAUAUGUUGGGGAGCUCAGUGGAGAGAUGAUCAAGUCACCAACCGGUUAGACUCCUACCAACAUUCGCACUAGUCCAAGAUGGUAUCCAUACUUCAAGGUGAGCACUCACAGUAUGUGCUUCAUGGCUUGA
rnacentral:rRNA from 1 species